rnacentral:rRNA from 1 species
GAAUUCACUAGUGAUUCAGGCCUAACACAUGCAAGUCGAACGAUGAAGCUGGAGCUUGCUCCGGUGGAUUAGUGGCGAACGGGUGAGUAACACGUGAGAAAUCUGCCCUUCACUCUGGGAUAACUGCGGGAAACUGUAGCUAAUACCGGAUACUUUCCCUGGUGGGCAUCCACUGGGGAAGAAAGAAUUUCGGUGAAGGAUGAUCUCGCGGCCUAUCAGCUUGUUGGUGAGGUAAUGGCUCACCAAGGCGACGACGGGUAGCCGGCCUGAGAGGGUGACCGGCCACACUGGGACUGAGACACGGCCCAGACUCCUACGGGAGGCAGCAGUGGGGAAUAUUGCACAAUGGGGGAAAGCCUGAUGCAGCAACGCCGCGUGAGGGAUGAAGAGCGUGUCGGGUUGUAAACCUCUUUAGCAGGGAAGAAGCGAAA